UCGUUCUCGCCUGCAAGAGCAGGGGAGUGUAGUAUAAGCAACUUGCGUUUUUUUUUUUUUUUUCGAUUAAUAUUUUGUUCAUACAGUUGCUGCUGUUCUUUUUACAGAUUUUGCUUUAUUGAGUUUUAACACAAUGUUUUUGGUGAUGAAGAUUUAUUUUAUAUUUGUUAGUGUCGCUAAGAAUAUAUGAGCGAGUGAGCAGAUUUUCGUAAAGCCUCUGUGUACAAUUAUUAUGAUUAUCACGCUUAAAAGAAACCAUUAAUCGAAAGCCCUAAAAAAAAAAUACAAAUAUUUUGUGCAUAGAAACAAGUGUUAUUUAUUAGCCAGCUGAAUGGCCUAAAUGACCAAAUACCACCCUUCAAACGUGUAUCUUGCGUAAAACGUUCAAAAUAAAGAAAAAAAGGAAAGAUAUCAACAAAAAUACACACAACUUCCGUUCAAUAUUAAACAAAACAAAAAUUAUCUUUUCAAUAUUCAUAUACCACUGCAUGGUUUAUGAUCAAGGAUUAAUUCGCGGCUAUUCGUGAAUGUAUGUGUGUUGCAGAAACCUAACCUUACAAAAUGGGACCAAUUUAUUAUUUGCAUAAUAAAAAAAA